CCUCCUAGACAGCUUUUCAGGCCUGCGCCCAGCGAUCUGACGUCAUUUCCGCCCGGCCGACACUCGGGGAAGCCGCAGCGGCGGCGAGCGCAGCGUGGGUCGGUUCAGUCACGUUUGUCGUUUGCCGCUGUUGUUUUGCGGCAAUUUCAUUUCCGUGCGUGAUGUUCUAGUGAUACGACAAUGCCUAAUAAGUGUUCUGUGCCGGGAUGUACCGGAAACUACAGGACGGGAAAGAAGAUACAAGUGUUUUCCUUCCCUAAAGACGGCGACGCUCUCAACAAAUGGCUACGCGCCAUUCCUAGGAAGGAUUUCGUGCCCACGUCGUGCACUAAGGUGUGCGCGGAUCAUUUCGACGCUUCAUGCAUCGAG